ACAGGAUUAGAUACCCUGGUAGUCCACGCUGUAAACGAUGUCGAUUUGGAGGUUGUUCCCUUGAGGAGUGGCUUCCGGAGCUAACGCGUUAAAUCGACCGCUGGGGAGUACGGCCGCAAGGUUAAAACUCAAAUGAAUUGACGGGGGCCCGCACAAGCGGUGGAGCAUGUGGUUUAAUUCGAUGCAACGCGAAGAACCUUACCUACUCUUGACAUCCAGAGAAUUUAGCAGAGAUGCUUUAGUGCCUUCGGGAACUCUGAGACAGGUGCUGCAUGGCUGUCGUCAGCUCGUGUUGUGAAAUGUUGGGUUAAGUCCCGCAACGAGCGCAACCCUUAUCCUUUGUUGCCAGCACGUUAUGGUGGGAACUCAAAGGAGACUGCCGGUGAUAAACCGGAGGAAGGUGGGGAUGACGUCAAGUCAUCAUGGCCCUUACGAGUAGGGCUACACACGUGCUACAAUGGCGUAUACAAAGAGAAGCGACCUCGCGAGAGCAAGCGGAACUCAUAAAGUACGUCGUAGUCCGGAUUGGAGUCUGCAACUCGACUCCAUGAAGUCGGAAUCGCUAGUAAUCGUAGAUCAGAAUGCUACGGUGAAUACGUUCCCGGGCCUUGUACACACCGCCCGUCACACCAUGGGAGUGGGUUGCAAAAGAAGUAGGUAGCUUAACCUUCGGGAGGGCGCUUACCACUUUGUGAUUCAUGACUGGGGUGAAGUCGUAACAAGGUAACCA
rnacentral:rRNA from 1 species